GGUUAAGUGAAUAAGGGCGCACGGUGGAUGCCUUGGCACUAGGAGCCGAUGAAGGACGGGACUAACACCGAUAUGCUUUGGGGAGCUGUAAGUAAGCUAUGAUCCAGAGAUUUCCGAAUGGGGGAACCCAAUAUCUUUUAUAGGAUAUUACUUUUCAGUGAAUACAUAGCUGAUUAGAGGUAGACGCAGAGAACUGAAACAUCUUAGUACCUGCAGGAAGAGAAAGAAAAUUCGAUUCCCUGAGUAGCGGCGAGCGAAACGGGAAGAGCCCAAACCAACAAGCUUGCUUGUUGGGGUUGUAGGACUCCAAUAUGGUAGUCUGUUAGUAUAGUUGAAGGAUUUGGAAAAUUCCGCUAAAGAGGGUGAAAGCCCCGUAGACGAAAUGCUGACAACACCUAGGAGGAUCCUGAGUACGGCGGAACACGAGAAAUUCCGUCGGAAUCCGCGGGGACCAUCCCGCAAGGCUAAAUACUCCCUAGUGACCGAUAGUGAACCAGUACCGUGAGGGAAAGGUGAAAAGCACCCCGGAAGGGGAGUGAAAUAGAUCCUGAAACCGUGUGCCUACAACAAGUCAAAGCUCGUUAAUGAGUGAUGGCGUGCCUUUUGUAGAAUGAACCGGCGAGUUACGAUUGCAUGCGAGGUUAAGUCGAAGAGACGGAGCCGCAGCGAAAGCGAGUCUGAAUAGGGCGAAUGAGUAUGUAGUCGUAGACCCGAAACCAUGUGAUCUACCCAUGUCCAGGUUGAAGGUGCGGUAAAACGCACUGGAGGACCGAACCCACGUACGUUGAAAAGUGCGGGGAUGAGGUGUGGGUAGCGGAGAAAUUCCAAACGAACUUGGAGAUAGCUGGUUCUCUCCGAAAUAGCUUUAGGGCUAGCCUCGGAAUUGAGAAUGAUGGAGGUAGAGCACUGUUUGGACUAGGGGCCCAUCUCGGGUUACCGAAUUCAGAUAAACUCCGAAUGCCAUUCAUUUAUAUCCGGGAGUCAGACUGCGAGUGAUAAGAUCCGUAGUCGAAAGGGAAACAGCCCAGACCACCAGCUAAGGUCCCAAAAUAUAUGUUAAGUGGAAAAGGAUGUGGGGUUGCACAGACAACUAGGAUGUUGGCUUAGAAGCAGCCACCAUUUAAAG
rnacentral:rRNA from 1 species